UAACGCGUGGGUAACCUGCCCUUUUGUGGGGAACAACUUCGAGAAAUCGGAGCUAAUACCGCAUAAUAAUAGAGGAUCGCAUGAUUCUUUAAGGAAAGAUGGCCUCUGAAGAUGCUAUCGCAAAAGGAUGGACCCGCGUCUGAUUAGCUAGUUGGAAGGGUAACGGCCUACCAAGGCAACGAUCAGUAGCCGGCCUGAGAGGGUGAACGGCCACAUUGGGACUGAGACACGGCCCAAACUCCUACGGGAGGCAGCAGUGGGGAAUCUUCCGCAAUGGGCGAAAGCCUGACGGAGCAAUGCCGCGUGAGUGAAGAAGGCCUUCGGGUUGUAAAACUCUGUCCUUAUCGAAGAGAGGUAGGUAUGUGAAUAAUGUACCUAUAGGACGGUAGAUAAGGAGGAAGCCCCGGCUAACUACGUGCCAGCAGCCGCGGUAAUACGUAGGGGGCGAGCGUUGUCCGGAAUCACUGGGCGUAAAGGGCGCGUAGGCGGUUUAAUAAGUCAGUGGUGAAAACUGAGGGCUCAACCCUCAGCCUGCCACUGAUACUGUUAGACUUGAGUAUGGAAGAGGAGAAUGGAAUUCCUAGUGUAGCGGUGAAAUGCGUAGAUAUUAGGAGGAACACCAGUGGCGAAGGCGAUUCUCUGGGCCAAGACUGACGCUGAGGCGCGAAAGCGUGGGGAGCAAACAGGAUUAGAUACCCUGGUAGU
rnacentral:rRNA from 1 species